rnacentral:rRNA from 1 species
CCUACGGGAGGCAGCAGUGGGGAAUUUUGGACAAUGGGCGAAAGCCUGAUCCAGCAAUGCCGCGUGAGUGAAGAAGGCCUUCGGGUUGUAAAGCUCUUUUGUCAGGGAAGAAACGGUGAGAGCUAAUAUCUCUUGCUAAUGACGGUACCUGAAGAAUAAGCACCGGCUAACUACGUGCCAGCAGCCGCGGUAAUACGUAGGGUGCAAGCGUUAAUCGGAAUUACUGGGCGUAAAGCGUGCGCAGGCGGUUUUGUAAGUCUGAUGUGAAAUCCCCGGGCUCAACCUGGGAAUUGCAUUGGAGACUGCAAGGCUAGAAUCUGGCAGAGGGGGGUAGAAUUCCACGUGUAGCAGUGAAAUGCGUAGAUAUGUGGAGGAACACCGAUGGCGAAGGCAGCCCCCUGGGUCAAGAUUGACGCUCAUGCACGAAAGCGUGGGGAGCAAACAGGAUUAGAUACCCUGGUAGUCCACGCCCUAAACGAUGUCUACUAGUUGUCGGGUCUUAAUUGACUUGGUAACGCAGCUAACGCGUGAAGUAGACCGCCUGGGGAGUACGGUCGCGAAGAUUAAAACUCAAAUGAAUUGACGG